rnacentral:rRNA from 1 species
AUUGAACGCUGGCGGCAUGCCUUACACAUGCAAGUCGAACGGCAGCACGGGAGCAAUCCUGGUGGCGAGUGGCGAACGGGUGAGUAAUGUAUCGGAACGUACCCUUCAGUGGGGGAUAACGUAGCGAAAGUUACGCUAAUACCGCAUAUUCUGUGAGCAGGAAAGCAGGGGAUCGCAAGACCUUGCGCUGAUUGAGCGGCCGAUAUCAGAUUAGCUAGUUGGUGAGGUAAAGGCUCACCAAGGCGACGAUCUGUAGCGGGUCUGAGAGGAUGAUCCGCCACACUGGAACUGAGACACGGUCCGGACUCCUACGGAGGCAGCAGUGGGGAAUUUUGGACAAUGGGCGCAAGCCUGAUCCAGCCAUGCCGCGUGAGUGAAGAAGGCCUCGGUUGUAAG